rnacentral:rRNA from 1 species
GAAUGGGGAAACCCAGUGUGUUUCGACACACUAUCAUUAACUGAAUCCAUAGGUUAAUGAGGCGAACCGGGGGAACUGAAACAUCUAAGUACCCCGAGGAAAAGAAAUCAACCGAGAUUCCCCCAGUAGCGGCGAGCGAACGGGGAGGAGCCCAGAGCCUGAAUCAGUGUGUGUGUUAGUGGAAGCGUCUGGAAAGGCGCGCGAUACAGGGUGACAGCCCCGUACACAAAAAUGCACAUAUUGUGAGCUCGAUGAGUAGGGCGGGACACGUGGUAUCCUGUCUGAAUAUGGGGGGACCAUCCUCCAAGGCUAAAUACUCCUGACUGACCGAUAGUGAACCAGUACCGUGAGGGAAAGGCGAAAAGAACCCCGGCGAGGGGAGUGAAAAAGAACCUGAAACCGUGUACGUACAAGCAGUGGGAGCCUCUUUAUGGGGUGACUGCGUACCUUUUGUAUAAUGGGUCAGCGACUUAUAUUCUGUAGCAAGGUUAACCGAAUAGGGGAGCCGAAGGGAAACCGAGUCUUAACUGGGCGUUAAGUUGCAGGGUAUAGACCCGAAACCCGGUGAUCUAGCCAUGGGCAGGUUGAAGGUUGGGUAACACUAACUGGAGGACCGAACCGACUAAUGUUGAAAAAUUAGCGGAUGACUUGUGGCUGGGGGUGAAAGGCCAAUCAAACCGGGAGAUAGCUGGUUCUCCCCGAAAGCUAUUUAGGUAGCGCCUCGUGAAUUCAUCUCCGGGGGUAGAGCACUGUUUCGGCAAGGGGGUCAUCCCGACUUACCAACCCGAUGCAAACUGCGAAUACCGGAGAAUGUUAUCACGGGAGACACACGGCGGGUGCUAACGUCCGUCGUGAAGAGGGAAACAACCCAGACCGCCAGCUAAGGUCCCAAAGUCAUGGUUAAGUGGGAAACGAUGUGGGAAGGCCCAGACAGCCAGGAUGUUGGCUUAGAAGCAGCCAUCAUUUAAAGAAAGCGUAAUAGCUCACUGGUCGAGUCGGCCUGCGCGGAAGAUGUAACGGGGCUAAACCAUGCACCGAAGCUGCGGCAGCGACACUAUGUGUUGUUGGGUAGGGGAGCGUUCUGUAAGCCUGUGAAGGUGGCCUGUGAGGGUUGCUGGAGGUAUCAGAAGUGCGAAUGCUGACAUAAGUAACGAUAAAGCGGGUGAAAAGCCCGCUCGCCGGAAGACCAAGGGUUCCUGUCCAACGUUAAUCGGGGCAGGGUGAGUCGACCCCUAAGGCGAGGCCGAAAGGCGUAGUCGAUGGGAAACAGGUUAAUAUUCCUGUACUUGGUGUUACUGCGAAGGGGGGACGGAGAAGGCUAUGUUGGCCGGGCGACGGUUGUCCCGGUUUAAGCGUGUAGGCUGGUUUUCCAGGCAAAUCCGGAAAACCAAGGCUGAGGCGUGAUGACGAGGCACUACGGUGCUGAAGCGACAAAUGCCCUGCUUCCAGGAAAAGCCUCUAAGCAUCAGGUAACAUCAAAUCGUACCCCAAACCGACACAGGUGGUCAGGUAGAGAAUACCAAGGCGCUUGAGAGAACUCGGGUGAAGGAACUAGGCAAAAUGGUGCCGUAACUUCGGGAGAAGGCACGCUGAUAUGUAGGUGAAGCGACUUGCUCGUGGAGCUGAAAUCAGUCGAAGAUACCAGCUGGCUGCAACUGUUUAUUAAAAACACAGCACUGUGCAAACACGAAAGUGGACGUAUACGGUGUGACGCCUGCCCGGUGCCGGAAGGUUAAUUGAUGGGGUUAGCGGUAACGCGAAGCUCUUGAUCGAAGCCCCGGUAAACGGCGGCCGUAACUAUAACGGUCCUAAGGUAGCGAAAUUCCUUGUCGGGUAAGUUCCGACCUGCACGAAUGGCGUAAUGAUGGCCAGGCUGUCUCCACCCGAGACUCAGUGAAAUUGAACUCGCUGUGAAGAUGCAGUGUACCCGCGGCAAGACGGAAAGACCCCGUGAACCUUUACUAUAGCUUGACACUGAACAUUGAGCCUUGAUGUGUAGGAUAGGUGGGAGGCUUUGAAGUGUGGACGCCAGUCUGCAUGGAGCCGACCUUGAAAUACCACCCUUUAAUGUUUGAUGUUCUAACGUUGGCCCGUAAUCCGGGUUGCGGACAGUGUCUGGUGGGUAGUUUGACUGGGGCGGUCUCCUCCUAAAGAGUAACGGAGGAGCACGAAGGUUGGCUAAUCCUGGUCGGACAUCAGGAGGUUAGUGCAAUGGCAUAAGCCAGCUUGACUGCGAGCGUGACGGCGCGAGCAGGUGCGAAAGCAGGUCAUAGUGAUCCGGUGGUUCUGAAUGGAAGGGCCAUCGCUCAACGGAUAAAAGGUACUCCGGGGAUAACAGGCUGAUACCGCCCAAGAGUUCAUAUCGACGGCGGUGUUUGGCACCUCGAUGUCGGCUCAUCACAUCCUGGGGCUGAAGUAGGUCCCAAGGGUAUGGCUGUUCGCCAUUUAAAGUGGUACGCGAGCUGGGUUUAGAACGUCGUGAGACAGUUCGGUCCCUAUCUGCCGUGGGCGCUGGAGAACUGAGGGGGGCUGCUCCUAGUACGAGAGGACCGGAGUGGACGCAUCACUGGUGUUCGGGUUGUCAUGCCAAUGGCACUGCCCGGUAGCUAAAUGCGGAAGAGAUAAGUGCUGAAAGCAUCUAAGCACGAAACUUGC